rnacentral:rRNA from 1 species
CCUACGGGAGGCAGCAGUGGGGAAUAUUGGGCAAUGGGCGCAAGCCUGACCCAGCAACGCCGCGUGAAGGAAGAAGGCUCUCGGGUUGUAAACUUCUUUUAUCAGGGACGAAGCAAGUGACGGUACCUGAUGAAUAAGCCACGGCUAACUACGUUCCAGCAGCCGCGGUAAUACGUAGGUGGCAAGCGUUAUCCGGAUUUACUGGGUGUAAAGGGCGUGUAGGCGGGAAAGCAAGUCAGAUGUGAAAACCCUGGGCUCAACCUGUGGCCUGCAUUUGAAACGGUUUUUCUUGAGUACUGGAGAGGCAGACGGAAUUCCUAGUGUAGCGGUGAAAUGCGUAGAUAUUAGGAGGAACACCAGUGGCGAAGGCGGUCUGCUGGACAGCAACUGACGCUGAGGCGCGAAAGCGUGGGGAGCAAACAGGAUUAGAUACCCCAGUAGUC